AGUGAACGCUGGCGGCAGGCCUAACACAUGCAAGUCGAGCGGCAGCGCGUCCGACCACCCUCGGGUGGUCGGAUGGCGGCGAGCGGCGGACGGGUGAGGAAUGCAUCGGAAUCUGCCUCGUUGUGGGGGAUAACGUAGGGAAACUUACGCUAAUACCGCAUACGACCUACGGGUGAAAGUGGGGGACCGUUCGGGCCGUCACGCGAUGAGAUGAGCCGAUGCCGGAUUAGCUAGUUGGCGGGGUAAAGGGACCCACCAAGGCGACGAUCCGUAGCUGGUCUGAGAGGAUGAUCAGCCACACUGGAACUGAGACACGGUCCAGACUCCUACGGGAGGCAGCAGUGGGGAAUAUUGGACAAUGGGGGCGAACCCUGAUCCAGCCAUGCCGCGUGUGUGAAGAAGGCCUCGGUUGUAAG
rnacentral:rRNA from 1 species